rnacentral:pre_miRNA from 8 species
CAGAGCUGUGGAGUGUGACAAUGGUGUUUGUAUCAUCUGUCGUCAAACGCCAUUAUCACACUAAAUAGCCACGGU